rnacentral:tRNA from 1 species
UAUCUUCUGAGUAUGAUAAAGUACAGUUGCCUUCCAAGCAGAAAGAUUAAUAUAAAUUUAAAGAAGAUAU